rnacentral:rRNA from 1 species
AUGACUCUCGGCAACGGAUAUCUUGGUCCUCGCAUCGAUGAAGGACGUAGCGAAAUGCGAUACUUGGUGUGAAUUGCAGAAUCCCGUGAACCAUCGAGUUUUUGAACGCAAGUUGCGCCCUAAGCUUCCGGGCCGAGGGCAAGCCUGCGUGGG